rnacentral:sRNA from 1 species
GGAUGAGAACCUCCGGGGGCAGGGAGGUUCGACUCGAGCGAAGAGAGAGAACGUUGCGCCAGCAACGGCCCGCAGGGCGAGCCACGAAGUGGCGAGUAAUCCUCUAUCACCGACCA